CUUCAUCACCAGCAGCUGUCCCUCUCCCGCCUCUCUCUCCCCCUUUCGUUUCUUCUCCUCUUCUUCUUUAUCCCUCUCUCUGCCUCCCUCUCCCUUUCUCCCACCGCCUCUUCUUUCUCCUCUCCGUCCACCAGCCACCGGCGGAAAACCAACAGAAGCCGCCGGUGAAGGCAGCAACCAGCAGCCCACCAGCCGCCUCCCUCUCCCCUCUCCCGUCGCUCCCUCUUCUCUCCCCGCCUUCUCUUCUCCAUCGUUGGCAACAACAAAACAGCAAUAAAAGAAGACCGGCGGACGGCAGCAGCUCCGGCGGAGGAUCAGCAAAGGCAUCGACCAGCAUCCCGGCGUCAUCCUCUCCUCUCUUCUCUUCUCCGUCCAUCUCUUCAUAUCUUCUCCGCGUUUUUUUUAUCGCUGGCAGCAUUCAGGCGAGCUGCCAGGCAGUAGCAACUCCACGCACCAGCAGCACAAGAAGAUCAGCUACGUCAACAACUAAACUUCCCGCCGCCAAUUUUCUGACCAAUAGAUAAAAGUGAAGUAUAGAUCAGUCCAGGUUUCAAACUUGAAGUUCAAGUUGAAGAUCAACCAUGAAUCUAUAUUUCUUUUUCUUAUUUUUAUUUAUUUGAAUGUUGUAACAUUUGUAACUCUAAGAUCAUAUAUAUAAAUUUAUUUGGGGGUCGUCUAGGGGAGGAGGAUUUAUAUGCUUACUUGUUCAUUAUAAUUUUUUUAGAAAUCAUGCCUAUAGGUUUGUCUUUAACCACCUAGAAUUAUUAUUUGUAGGUGUUAUAAUCCAAUCAAUUGUUUGAUGUUUUGUUAAUAAGUCUAAAAAAUAAUAAACUAGAUUCCAUUAAUUUUUAAUGUUAAAAACAAAUCAUAAUAAUCUAGUAGGCUGAUCAGGUGUUUUAACAAUGUUAUAACUUUUAGCAUCAUCUUGUCAUGUAGAAACCAUGCCUAAGGUUUAAUUUGUUCAUAUCAUUUAGAUUCACAAAAGCAUGCAUAUGUGUUAUUCCUUCUUCUAAACACCUAGAAAUUCAUGUCUAUAGGCUUGAAAAUAACUUUUAACAUAUCCGUAAAAAAUAAAAUUCGUUUGUGCAUAUUUGUGCCUUUCCCCAAAAUUGGUUAAUAUUAUUAGUAAUCUUAUUUGUUUUCCGCAUUCAUGAUGCAAUAUUUUUUUAAUAACACUAAAUUAGAAUCAUUGCAUGCAUUUGACAAAUUACUUGGCUUUAAAAAUGUUUCAUAUCAAAACCUUGCAACAUAAUUUUCUUUAAAAAAAGUCAUUAUUCAAUCUUUCUUUAAAACUUUGGAUUGAUUAUGACAUUGUUUAUUUUGAAAAAAAAUAAUUAUAAGCACUACCUCCUAACCUAUCGUUAGUGGGAAAGUCAAAGAAACUACGAGGUCUAGUUCCAAUUUUUUUAAACCCGACGCAUCCCCGGAAGUACCACCUACCCAUGGAUUUCAAAAGAAAUUAUGUGCAUUUAUAUGUGAAUGUUUAUGUGCCUACGUGUGAACUAAAUCUUUUAAAUCAUUUUUUCAAAAACAUAAA